GUAGGUGGCAAGCGUUGUCCGGAAUUAUUGGGCGUAAAGCGCGCGCAGGCGGUUCUUUAAGUCUGAUGUGAAAGCCCACGGCUCAACCGUGGAGGGUCAUUGGAAACUGGAGAACUUGAGUACAGAAGAGGAAAGCGGAAUUCCACGUGUAGCGGUGAAAUGCGUAGAGAUGUGGAGGAACACCGGUGGCGAAGGCGGCUUUCUGGUCUGUAACUGACGCUGAGGCGCGAAAGCGUGGGGAGCAAACAGGGAUUAGAUACCCUGGUAGUCCACGCCGUAAACGAUGAGUGCUAAGUGUUAGGGGGGUUUCCGCCCCCUUAGUGCUGCAGCUAACGCAUUAAGCACUCCGCCUGGGGAGUACGGCCGCAAGGCUG
rnacentral:rRNA from 1 species